GAUGAACGCUGGCGGCGUGCCUAAUACAUGCAAGUCGAGCGAACGGACGAGAAGCUUGCUUCUCUGAUGUUAGCGGCGGACGGGUGAGUAACACGUGGAUAACCUACCUAUAAGACUGGGAUGACUUCGGGAAACCGGAGCUAAUACCGGAUAAUAUUUUGAACCGCAUGGUUCAAAAGUUAAAGACGGUCUUGCUGUCACUUAUAGAUGGAUCCGCGCUGCAUUAGCUAGUUGGUAAGGUAACGGCUUACCAAGGCAACGAUGCAUAGCCGACCUGAGAGGGGGAUCGGCCACACUGGAACUGAGACACGGUCCAGACUCCUACGGGAGGCAGCAGUAGGGAAUCUUCCGCAAUGGGCGAAAGCCUGACGGAGCAACGCCGCGUGAGUGAUGAAGGUCUUCGGAUCGUAAAACUCUGUUAUUAGGGAAGAACAUAUGUGUAAGUAACUGUGCACAUCUUGACGGUACCUAAUCAGAAAGCCACGGCUAACUACGUG
rnacentral:rRNA from 1 species